rnacentral:lncRNA from 1 species
GAAGACCUGAGGUAUCAGGGGUAGGGGUUGCUCUGCUUGUGUAAGUCCCAUAGUGUGAAGGCCAGAGAACCAAGAGAUGGUCAAGAAGAGAGAGAGCAUCACGACCUGUGCAGACUCCCCAGCAUCAUAACAGGAAGGUCCCACGAUCACGAGCACAUUGCCUUCAGCAUCCAGCACUGAAUAUGGUGAAUUGCACUCUGAAGAGCUUCCUAAGCUUGUAAGAAAGUGAUUCUGAAAAGCUCAACAUUUUGGUAGAAUGGAGAGAUUUGACAUUGCUUCUGCUCCAAAAGCAAAAGACUUGGGAAGGGCACCCUGGGAGUUGAGAACAUCCACCACAGAGAGGCCUGGCGUAAAGGAGAUGGGACUCACACCCAAGAGGAUGCAUUUCCAUACACCCAUUUCUGAAAUAUGAAGAGGUGUCCAGUCUGUUUGAUUCAUAGCUGCCUGUUCCACAACUGCAGAUACAGUAAUUGAUAACCGAGACCAAGUUCUCAUCCCCAUCUCCCAGGGCUGGAACUGGGGCUGUGUUUGGUUCUCAUAAGAUCAGUUCCAGUUUUAGAAACUGAGUAAAUUGUGGAGUAAA